ensembl:lncRNA
CAGGAGGAGAGGAGGACGACAGCAAAGAGGAAGAAUCUGGAUAUAAGAAAGUCUUUUUCAAAGAAACCUGUGACAGAGGCAGCUCUGCCAUGUUGUAGCUCAGAGGUGAAGAGGCGAGCUCACAGGUGGCAAUAUGUCCUUGUGCAGUCAGAGGGGAGGAGCCAGGGCCAAAGCUGAGGCACAUCAAGCACAGAAUAAUACUUUUAAUCUGAGGAUAAAACGCAGGUACUGAGGCUGAAAGAAGCUUCAGUGCUCUCAGAAGACUAAAAAGAUGGGUAAGGUUAACAAUGACUCAAAUGAGAUUAAACAAUGCUGCUGUGUGUCCACCAGGAGAGGCUGGACAGUAUAGAUGGAAAACCAAUAUGCCAGCAGUUUAUCUCAGUUAACGAGAGGAGCAGGCAUGUGUUUGGCUGCUUCACAUAGUGGACAUUGAGUUGUUGUGUGGGACACCAGUAGCUGUAACAGUGUGGAGCAGGGAAAUUAUUUUACUGCUAUUGUUAAAUAAUCAUCAUCAUUACCAUUGCAUUAAUAAUAGAAUCUGCAGCAUUGAUAUUGUAUUCAGAGGUUCAAACAGUGUGUGUCUUUUAGAAAGAAUAAGUUGCAGGCUGACAGGAAGUUGCAGAGAGUUUGCAGAAGGGAAAGCAGAAGUGAAAGCAGAGUCUAAGUUAUUCUGAGCAGGUUAGACGAGGCUAUUUGAAUUACUAGCUUAUUCAAAUUGUCUGUUAUACUUUUAUAUUCUUUUAUUAAGCUCUUAGUAGAGGUUCUUGAUUAAAACAUUUAUUCAACAUAGUACAUAUAGUUUCAGUUAGGUUAUUACACAUAAGGAUGAGCCUCUGGUCUGGUAAAAGGUCAGAAGUGCAACGGGUGAGAUGAGAGGGCAUGUAGGGUCAACACAUACACACACACACAUUAGCAGACUCAUUUAUAGGUGAGAGGUUGGUCAUGUUUGUCUCUGGAAAGAGGAACAGCGUCUGGUAGGAUGUGGGGCUCGUGUUCCAGACGAGACGAAGACAACGUUCUUUUAAACUGUGUUAAAAGUCAUUGUGGUUUUGAUCUGACGUGUGUAUAUAUUCUGUCUGUGACGUAUGAAGGGGCGUCGUUAAUUCAAAC